AAUGUGACGGUACGUGACAUUGUUUACAAGCUGUUAUGUUGACAUCUUUGCAUGGUUAAAACACUGAUUGAUCGAUUACAUGAGACGGGAUACAGAUUUUGGAGCAGCUACUGAACGACACCAGAGAUAGGAGUCAAAGCACGCGGCAGAAAAGACGCGACCCUUCCAAUUAUCGCAGAGGUGCGAGGCGGCGUGGGGCCGUUUCUCAGACCUUCUCACAGCCCGGAUAACUGAGGUGUGAGCCGAGACUUUACAGGGUGCAAAACACACCUUAAAACAGAUGCAGGAGUGAGAUGGUAAAUGUUAGUUCACACACACACACACACACACACACACACACACACACACACACACACAAAUGUACUGUAACAGAGGGGAGGGUUUUUACACCCCUGUAGGGGGUAAUAAAGCGAGUUAAAGCAUCACACUUCUGUAAACUUAAUCUACACGGCUUUAAUUACUAUUUGGCGCCUCUCUUCUCUCUCUGGUUUUCUCUGCAUCUCUCCGUCCGCAGCCGCUUCUCUGCUUGAGCUCUUGCUGACAGUCAUGAAAACGAGAUUUGCUCGGUUGGGGUUCCUGUUUGACUGAUCUGCAUGGAGCAAAUUAACAACAAGCAACACACACACUUCCCCCAUCUCUCUUGACGGCCCUGGUACCCAUGGAAAACAGCUCAGAAAUUUUGUUAAACAUCGCCUUCUGUGUUUUUACAAAAGAAAGUAAGGCAUGCAGAUUUGAGACGACAUGAGGCACAUCAUCCUGCAGAUAUGACACAUACAGGCAGACGGCAGCGCAGACAGACAGGCCACAGAAGCCCACGGCCUGCGGAGAGACACUGAGGUCUACCUGCUGCUGCUCGGGAGGGGAGACCGAGAGAAAGAGAGAGACAGACAGAACUGGAGCCAGUGUAAUGAGCUGUGAAAUUCAGCUGUACACACUCUAUAGCAGCACUGCAUUCAGUGACGCCACAAAUAACUGACAAAACACAGGGAUUACAUUCAACAACAGGACUAAAUCAGCUCACAGAGUAAUAUAACUAUAGCUGCAUGGGUCAAUAAUAAUAGCACAAUAGUUUGCUUUUUUCUUGCUAUUAUGCACAAACCUGCAAUAUUAACAAAUAAACUGGAAGACAAAAGCA
ensembl:lncRNA